rnacentral:piRNA from 1 species
UUGGAGUAUGGCUUUUCACACGGGCUUCU